UUGGUUUUUUUUUUAGUUUGUUCACCUGAAGGGUUGAGACAAGUAGGUGUCGUCAACCUGUAGGGCUGUAACAAUGAUUUUGGUUUGGUUUUGGAAGUUAUAGUCGGAAGCCUAUAACUUUGGUUUCGCCCGGUCUAGCUGAGUUUUUUUCUUGGAAUGCUGAACAUCGGUCCUGGCGGUUGGUUUUUUGGCUUUCUCAGCACAACAAGCUUUAUUGCAAGUUGCACUGAGAAGGCCAACGGUUGGUUUACUGUUUUGGAAAUUAGCGGAGGUUUUUUUCUAUAUGCAGCGCAGUUGGCCGCAUAGUUUUUUUCACCCUCCGAGGGUUGACGCGGGUUCGAGAUUUUUUUUUAAUAUUUUUUUUUGUGGUCAAACAGUAGUUUGCUUGUUUUUAAAUACCUUUUGGUAUAAUUUUGUAGAUAUUGGGGGAUUUUUUUUUGAGAUUUUACAGUCUCGAACUUGCGUCAGGUUUUUUUGAUUCUGAUAUUUUUUUGGUAGGUUUAGUUUUCUUGCCUUCAGAUUUUGUUUUUUUUUAUGAAAGUCGCUGAGGACAGCGAGCGGUUCACCUACGUUGAACCUUAAAUCGGGAAGGGGGGUAUUGUAACGUAGCAGAUUUUUUGAUAGUCGUAAUUAAAUAUUUUGGAUAGAUUUAAUUUUUGAAUGAAACACUUCCUUCUCGUUCAUUGCAUUAUCUGUUGCACUUCAAAUGCACAUAUUUAUGUUUAUCUGUUGUAGGGUUGCCAUACAACAAGUAUUAUUCGAAAUUGUAGGUAUUUUGGCUGUCAUUCCAGGAAAACUUUGUAUAGUUUUGAUAUACUUUAAGUAUUGAUUUUUGGAAAAUAUAAUAUUUUAGAGACAUGAUAACAAAUGUUAUCAUAGGUUUUUUAAGGCUGUUCUGGAAUGAUAUUUGUUAGGUUUUGUUUACUUCAAGGUCUGAUACAGAAACUGGAGUAAUUUUCAUUUAAUGAAUUAGAGUAUUUUAUUGUUUAUUCGUUUGCCACCCGGCUUUUGUUUUGGGUCCUUUAAAUUCGAGAUCAUUCAGUGCGCCGUUCUUUCUGUGACGAGAUCCUCUUGUAUAGUGAUCGGACGGCCGUAUAAGGGCCUGGAGCCCGGCAUGCCACGUGCUGCCGUGGCGUUCCAUAUUUUGUGUGGUGCGUUCUGUCAGUCUGACUGGCAGAAACAUGCUAAGGGUGGGAGUGCUCCUUGGAGAUCCUCGGUCUGCAGUCUGCAGGUCUCCGGAGUCGGGAAGAAGUAAAGAAUUAGAGAAUUGCAGAAGUAGAUAAUUAAACAAGAACCUUUACAAUUUCGAUGUGCAAGGAAACUUUCUUUGGCGUUACUGGCGCAAGGUGCCUUUGGACCUUGUUUUCGUAUGGAAGGGUCAGCCCUGUCCACGUGGCGAGGGGGCGUCAGCACCGGAGUCCGGGGAGCAGCCGGCUCAUCCCUGACAAGGUGUGUCUCCUGCCCGUUUCCUGCCGGUAGUGAUGUGUAAUUCAGGUUUUAAUUUCUGUGUAAAGUAAUUUCUGAUUUCAUUUAUUUUGAGAAUUCUGGUGCAUAACUUUAGGUAAAUUCAUAUUUAGUUUUUGUAGAAUAAAUGGUUGUAAGAAACCUUUUCCUGGACCCUCUUAAAGCGGCCCAGCUUUACCACUGAGCGUAGUUCUUAUUUCAUAUGUGGUGUCAAAUUUAG